AUGCAAGUCGAGCGGUAAGGCCCUUCGGGGUACACGAGCGGCGAACGGGUGAGUAACACGUGAGCAACCUGCCCCUGACUCUGGGAUAAGCGGUGGAAACGCCGUCUAAUACCGGAUACGACCCGCCACCUCAUGGUGGAGGGUGGAAAGUUUUUCGGUCAGGGAUGGGCUCGCGGCCUAUCAGCUUGUUGGUGGGGUAACGGCCUACCAAGGCGAUUACGGGUAGCCGGCCUGAGAGGGCGACCGGCCACACUGGGACUGAGACACGGCCCAGACUCCUGCGGGAGGCAGCAGUGGGGAAUAUUGCGCAAUGGGCGAAAGCCUGACGCAGCGACGCCGCGUGGGGGAUGACGGCCUUCGGGUUGUAAACCUCUUUUACCACCAACGCAGGCUUCCAGUUCUCUGGAGGUUGACGGUAGGUGGGGAAUAAGGACCGGCUAACUACGUGCCAGCAGCCGCGGUAAUACGUAGGGUCCGAGCGUUGUCCGGAAUUAUUGGGCGUAAAGAGCUCGUAGGCGGCGUGUCGCGUCUGCUGUGAAAGACCGGGGCUUAACUCCGGUUCUGCAGUGGAUACGGGCAUGCUAGAGGUAGGUAGGGGAGACUGGAAUUCCUGGUGUAGCGGUGAAAUGCGCAGAUAUCAGGAGGAACACCGGUGGCGAAGGCGGGUCUCUGGGCCUUACCUGACGCUGAGGAGCGAAAGCAUGGGGAGCGAACAGGAUUAGAUACCCUGGUAGUCCAUGCCGUAAACGUUGGGCGCUAGGUGUGGGGACUUUCCACGGUUUCCGCGCCGUAGCUAACGCAUUAAGCGCCCCGCCUGGGGAGUACGGCCGCAAGGCUAAAACUCAAAGGAAUUGACGGGGGCCCGCACAAGCGGCGGAGCAUGUUGCUUAUUCGAC
rnacentral:rRNA from 1 species